AUUGAACGCUGGCGGCAUGCUUUACGCAUGCAAGUCGAACGGUAACAGGCCGCAAGGUGCUGACGAGUGGCGAACGGGUGAGUAAUGCAUCGGAACGUGCCCAGUCGUGGGGGAUAACGCAGCGAAAGCUGUGCUAAUACCGCAUACGAUCUAUGGAUGAAAGCGGGGGACCGUAAGGCCUCGCGCGAUUGGAGCGGCCGAUGUCAGAUUAGGUAGUUGGUGGGGUAAAGGCCCACCAAGCCAACGAUCUGUAGCUGGUCUGAGAGGACGACCAGCCACACUGGGACUGAGACACGGCCCAGACUCCUACGGGAGGCAGCAGUGGGGAAUUUUGGACAAUGGGCGCAAGCCUGAUCCGGCAAUGCCGCGUGCAGGAAGAAGGCCUUCGGGUUGUAAACUGCUUUUGUACGGAACGAAACGGUCUGGGUUAAUACCCUGGGCUAAUGACGGUACCGUAAGAAUAAGCACCGGCUAACUACGUGCCAGCAGCCGCAGUAAAAC
rnacentral:rRNA from 1 species